GUCCCAUUUAAAAACCUGUGGUUUGAGUAUAAUUUUUCAGUCCAUAAGCACAGACGAAGGAUAUCAAUGAUCUGGAAAGAUUCUGUAUAUAGAAAUUGUCUAAGAUCCCUCCCAUGUGUUCUCCAUUCUCAUCAAGCAUUAGAAAAAUACUCGUAUCAUUAUCCUCGAGCUUGCAAGGUGAGGGUACUUUAAAAAAUAUAUUUUUUACUUACUUGUUAAACAAAAUCUCUUUCUCUGAUUAAUUGUGUAAGUAUAAAAUAACAUAAUUUGUCCGUUUUUUUAGCAUACAAUAUAGCUCAGUACUUGUAUUAUUUAUUUAUUGUAUUUUUUGCUAAUCUUUAUCAAGGGAUCAAAUCAUUUGGGACCCCACUGUAUAUAAUAAUAAUAAUAAUAAUAAUAAUAAUAAUAUAUGCCAUUUAGUAGACACUUUUUUGCAUUAAUUUGACAUUCCUUUGUAUAUAGACUUGAAUGUAACAGUUUGAAUGGAACAGUUUGAAUACAACGGUUAGUAAUGUAACAGUUUGAAAGCAACAGUUUCAGCAUUAUUAUACUAUUACGCACGACAGUUUUCCAGAACUAUUUUAAGGUCUCCAAAGUGUACAUAGCCUAGCCCGCUGAUUGGGGAGCAUCUAACCUAAACCUGUCAACGUUGCUCCCCUGCUCCUAUAAUCUCUCCAACGAAACCGAAAGAAACCAAAAAGGUGAUUGAUUGAUCGUGGAAAUUGUCCUCGACUUGAUGGGACUGGAGUUUGCUGAAAUCCUAAGCCCACCGCUAGCAACCCAUGACAGAGAGGGAAACUAGAGACGCCAGUAGGAUUUCGGCGAUGUUGGGUAACCACGGAACUUCGGAAAAAUCACUGCACAUCCUGGGUCCGCUUGCCAACGCGUUGACUUUACCCAUGAAAGCGUUUUUAAACACCCAAAUAGGCUACUAACCUUUUGGAUACAAUGUACACAGCCCGAUCACGAAUAACUCCCGCAGCUCCUGCUGGCUCCCGAUGACACGGAUUUGCUUGUCUGAAGAUCAUCCUAUAGAAAAUGAUAAAUGUAUGUGAACGGGCCUGUGCUCCGUAGCGUCGUGGUGUUUCUGCUGUUGGGUGUCUCCUACAGUAAGCGCAGGUGCAACUACACGGAUAUACUCAGCACGUACAGAGAACUAAUCUUCGUUGAACUUCAGAAUUUGAAUCUGACAGGCACUUUUGACACACCCAAAGAGAGGGACCAUUGUCCCUCAGGAAAGCUGCAGCACGUGUUGCGCUCCAUCCAUGGUAUGACGGAGCAAUUCCUGUGUCAGGGCUGGGAUCAGGAACACGGGCGGGGCAGCAGAGAGCAGUGGGCCAUGAAGAAGCCAGUGGAGAUGAUGGCAGUGCUGAUCAGACAGAACUGCAGGCACACUGACCUGGUGAGGAAACAGAAGAGAACAGCGCUGUGUGUGACUGCCCAGAGGACGAAGGGAAAGAACAGGAAGAGGAUGAGACUCAUCAGGGCACUGAUAAACUGUUGGCAGAAGCUGCAGAGUUUGUACACACCCACAAAAUAAUUUGAAAAAAAUAUGUUUUUAUUUUUUAUCAAAAUUGUUUCAAAAAAGCUUAUUUUGUAGAGUAGAAUGACAGUUUGUAUGUCAGGCAUAGGCCUCUGUUUAUGACCUUUUACUUCUUGUCUGUACAGUCCCACAUGUAUAAGCUAUAGGUCACCAUAGAUCAGGGAUGGGCCACUUUGAUGUGGGCGGGGGCCACAAAAAAAACGAACUGAUCAUGCUUACUAUAAGUUUAGAUAACUAGCCGCUAGACUAACUUGCCAAUCUAAAAAGGUUUACCUGACUUGGGCUAAUUAAGUGACUGCUGAUGCACAACCAACCACAUGUUGAAAUUGCACCUUGUGUAAUCUAUUAUUCUAACUCUCAACAGUAAAUUGAGACCCGACUGAGUUCCCCCCAUUAAUUAUGGUUGUUAGAGGAUGGUUUUACAAUGCAGUGAAGAUAUUUACUUGUAAUACCUUGGUGCACACACAUUUUAUAACUCUUAGCUAUCUCACAAUCCAGAUAUUGUUUUUGUGAAACCGAUAGAUACAGUUGUUGUUCUAUGAAAUGUAUUUAAGAUGCCCACUGAUAAAGGUUUCUU
ensembl:lncRNA